rnacentral:tRNA from 1 species
GGGGAAAUGGCUGAGUGGUCGAAAGCGUCGGUUUGCUAAAUCGAUGUACGGAAAACUUCGUACCGUGGGUUCGAAUCCCACUUUUCCCA